CUGUCAUGCCAUAGUUAUCAUAUAGUGGUUAAUAUCAGUUUCCAUGCUAUCCAUGUGGUUCCAUUAAUCCUUCUGCUCAUGCCUUAUAAAUACCUAGAAAACUAUACCAUGUUUAAUUAUGUUUAUCCUUAAACUGUGUUUUUUGUCUGAAAGGUGAACUAUGCCCUUCUUGUUCUUGCUUUUUACAUAUAUGCCUGCUUAUCUUUCUGAUGCAUUUUUGCAGAUGCACUUUAGGAUUUUUAAAAAUUUGAAAACAUGAUUUUUUCACUGGCAUUUGUGCCAGAACUUAAUUAAAACUUUAUAUUAGUAAGGAAGAAAAAACACAUUUUUCCGAUAUUAGGUCUUCUCAUCCAAGACGCUUCUCAUUAUCUAAGCUUUAUUCAGUGUUUGUUAAGUCCUGUUUCAUAUUUUUCUUCUAACUAGCCCACACACUUUGUAGCUUCUCACUAAAGAGUUGUGGCAAAGAACCCCAAUGCCCACAUUUUUCCUCCUCCUGUUCACAGAGGAAGACGACCUUUCCCAGGUUCCCUCAGUGUAAAGUGGGACUAUGAGUCUGGCUCCUGGUCAGCAGAAAGUGGAUCCAAGUAAAAUAUAGUCUCCAGUUCUCCUGUUGUCUCUGAGUGGAUGCAGAAGACCCCAUGGAAGACUAAGGCUAAAACGAUGGCAAAGCUACUGGAGGGAUGGAGUUUUGGUCACCAUACACUGUUACGAGGAAGACUGCCUGUUAAAAGUCAUUUGUAUUGUGAUGUGAGAGAGAAAACUUUCUGUCUUCAGCAACCGAGAAACUCUGCAAUAAUUAUAAGAAAAUGGAAAUGAAGACCAUCUCUGACCUGAUCCUGACUUUAUUGAAAAAGACAUAGUGUUUUCUGCUAUUCAGUGUUCUAAUAUAAAGAUCUAUAUUAUUUGUCAUGAUAAUUUUAUACUUUUUUUUCAAGAAUGGGUAUUGAAUAUGAGAAUAUGAUAUACAUUGUUUUCCUCUGACCUAUUCAAUAAACUGUAUACAUUGAUUUUCUAACAUUAAACUAUUCUCCUAUUCCCUAGUUGGUUUUGCUAAUUCAAUUCUUGGAAAAUAAUGUUGUCUUCCAUUUACUGAUUGAGGAACUUAUGUAUCUACUUUUAUGGAAUUUAUACAUCUGUAAUUUAGUUAAAAUUUGAGCUUCAGGUCGGUUUGUAUAUAUUAAAUUUUGCUGUCCAUAUUGUUUUGAGUUUCACUAAAUUCCAGAGUUUUUCACUGAUAAUCUAGUUUGGAGUUAAAGUUGUUCCCUUGUUGUGGCCCAGUGAUACUGAAUAGUUGAAUAUUAUGAAGUAACAUAAAUAAGCAUUAACAGAUUUGUCCCCAUUCUGCAUAAGAAUUUGACCUCCAGUAAAGCUUCUAGAUCUGAGUCCCUGAGAUAUGAUAGAAGAAUGUCAUCAGGCCCCAGCCACACUGCUCAUUGUGACACUCAGCUGUAAACAUGCAUCUGAGCUAGGAGAAUUAUAAAUGCUGAGAGAGUCACACACUUGGCCUUCCCUGAGUGCUCUGACUCCUAUCAUUGGAAUCUCCCUUGCAGACACCCUAGAAAUAUGCCUAGCAGAUAUUACGAGAGAUUUUGGCUCCUGUGCAUCCUGAGGCUUUCAAGUCAAGGGUUCACCCAAAUCAACCAAUGAGUUUCUCAUCUCUUUGCUCCUGGGGACAAAAAUCUAUUUGUGGACUACUGCAGGGAAUACCACAGAAGGGAACGGACAGCAUGUUGCGCUUCUCGUCCCGUAUCUUCCUGAGGGAUUGUGUGCCAAGAUGGGCCAACGGUAAUCUGAUGUUGAACUGAGCUUCAGAAGACCGUUUGAUGGAUGUUGGACACUGUCCUGAAGCACAGUGUCCUUCCUCCCCAGGGCCCUAAUGUAGCUCAUGGAUGGAAUCACUAGAGACCACACUGAUGAUUCUGUGACGCAGCACUUCCGUGCCUUGCUGCCUCAGUCCACAGUCAGUAUGCGACGGAGGCUCAUCACUGUGUUGGGGGCUGGUCACUCCACCUCACAUUUCCGCUUCUUGUGGUACGGCUUUCACUUCCUCCUGUCUGGAGUACUUGUAGCUGCCUUGAGGAAUGCCCAUCACUCCACACUGACAAGAAAUUAGCCGUGGUUACUGUAAAGCCUUUAUUUGAUAAGUUCAAUGCCUGAAUUACUUGUGGCUUUAUUUUCAUUGUCUGAUGUUAUUUUGGUUAUCAGUUAUUUGAUCUUGUUUUCAGACAUGCCUGGUGAUUUUGUUGGAGUGUCCGAGUUUUCAAUUUAAAUGACUGUAUUUUGCAUUUCUCGAAGUUCUUUUGGCUAUUUUGCAAAUCUGUCUUUUUCUUUGAUUAUAAUGUCUAUUUCUUCUUUUACAUUUAGGGUUAAUUAAAAAUAAUUCAUAUUUUAAAAUAAUAUCAUACUUAGUUGGCUUCUUUGAAGUUCUUUAAAUAUCAUAUUUCAGAUUUUUAGCACUAGGAUAAUCUUCUGGUAUAGUUUAUUAACUAUCAUAUGCUAAAUUAAGCCAUGCAGGCAAAAAAUUCCAAAUAUAAAUGUUUUUUUUUUUUUUUGAGAGAGAGCAUCUCUCAUAUUUACUGAUCAAAUGGUUGUUAACAACAAUAAAAUUCUGUAUAGGGGA